UUUCCGUAGGUGAACCAGCGGAAGGAUCAUUACCGAGUUGGGACCCUCUGGGUCCAACCUCCCACCCGCGUUUAUUUACCUUGUUGCUUCGGCGAGCCUGCCUUUUGGCUGCCGGGGCACGUCAGUCCCCGGGUCCGUGCUCGCCGGAGACACCUUAGAUCUCUGUCUGAAGAUUGUAGUCUGAGAUUAAUUCUAAAUUAUUUAAAACUUUCAACAACGGAUCUCUUGGUUCCG
rnacentral:misc_RNA from 1 species